AGAGUUUGAUCAUGGCUCAGAACGAACGCUGGCGGCGCGUUUUAAGCAUGCAAGUCGGACGGUAGGCGAGUGGCAACACUUGCUGAGAGUGGCGAACGGGUGAGUAACACGUAGGCAAUCUAGCCCUGGGACGGGGACAGCUCAUGGAAACAUGGGGUAAUACCCGGUGAGGUUACUGGGACUGAGGUUCUGGUGAUGAGAGGCUUCAAUUGGAGCGCCUGGGGGUGAGCCUGCGGUCCAUUAGCUAGUUGGUGAGGUAAUGGCCCACCAAGGCAGUGAUGGAUAGCCGGCCUGAGAGGGUGUACGGCCACACUGGGACUGAGACACGGCCCAGACUCCUACGGGAGGCAGCAGCUAAGAAUCUUCCGCAAUGGGCGCAAGCCUGACGGAGCGACGCCGCGUGGACGAUGAAGGCCGUAAGGUUGUAAAGUCCUUUUCUCUGUGAGGAAUGAGUGGGGGAGUGGAAAGCCCUCAUGAUGACGGUAACGGAGGAAUAAGCACCGGCUAACUACGUGCCAGCAGCCGCGGUAAUACGUAGGGUGCGAGCGUUGUUCGGAGUUAUUGGGCGUAAAGGGCGUGUAGGCGGCCUGAGAAGUCUGGUUUGAAAUGCACUGGCUCAACUGGUGCGCUGGGUCGGAAACUGGCAGGCUAGAGUUCAUGGGGAGGAGCUGGAAUUCCAGGUGUAGGGGUGAAAUCUGUAGAGAUCUGGAAGAACACCGGUAGCGAAGGCGGGCUCCUAUGGAUGGACUGACGCUGAGGCGCGAAAGCGUGGGGAGCAAACAGGAUUAGAUACCCUAGUAGUCC
rnacentral:rRNA from 1 species